CCGAGCGUGUAUACCGCGUAACUGAAUCGAGUCAUCAUUUCAAUCGGUCCAAGUAAUUCUGGAACACAUCAAAUCUGUUGGUAAACAUAAAAGACACGGAUGAGAAGACCCCGCUUGAAAUUCAUAUCAGCAUAUAUUCCUCUCUCUAUCGGGAAGCGGUCCUCACUCAAUAAUCCGGUUUUUUUUAUCAUUUUGGUGCGAAAUGCGAGAUACUAUGACGACCGUUUUUUCACCAUCCGGAAGAAGCUGGAACCGACUGGACUACUUGAGAAACAUCACCCGCCGGUCACCAGUAAAUUAUUCAACCGUAAACGAACAACACUAGUGUUGCGACACAGAUAUUUUGGCCAUUUGCUGAAGCUACGGAUUAACAAAAUGCCACCCAGGCAUGAGAUCACCACUUCCGGAGUUGUUCGGCACCGACGUUAGGUGAUCGUGGGGGAAAAUCACUUUUGCUGCUACAAAUGUUAUCGGGUGUUUCGACCGCUGUUGGUGUUCACCUAGCGCUAGGCACUUAAUUACUAUGGUAAAUUGUAAAUAAGAACAGAAAAACAAGGAAUAAUAUAAAUAACAUAUUUGAAA